rnacentral:rRNA from 1 species
AACGAACGCUGGCGGCAGGCUUAACACAUGCAAGUCGAGCGCCCCGCAAGGGGAGCGGCAGACGGGUGAGUAACGCGUGGGAACGUACCCUUUGCUACGGAAUAGCUCCGGGAAACUGGAAUUAAUACCGUAUGUGCCCUACGGGGGAAAGAUUUAUCGGCAAAGGAUCGGCCCGCGUUGGAUUAGCUAGUUGGUGGGGUAAUGGCCUACCAAGGCGACGAUCCAUAGCUGGUCUGAGAGGAUGAUCAGCCACAUUGGGACUGAGACACGGCCCAAACUCCUACGGGAGGAAGCAGUGGGGAAUAUUGGACAAUGGGCGCAAGCCUGAUCCAGCCAUGCCGCGUGAGUGAUGAAGGCCUUCGGGUUGUAAAGCUCUUUCGCACACGACGAUGAUGACGGUAGUGUGAGAAGAAGCCCCGGCUAACUUCGUGCCAGCCGCCGCGGUAA